rnacentral:lncRNA from 1 species
GCUGGUGCUACAUGAAGGAUAUGAGCCGUCCAUCCUGUGAGAUCCUUCCCAAGCCUGGAGUUUGAGCAUCUGGAUCCCCGGAAUCGAAACCCCUACUUUCAUAACAAAAAGUGAACCUGAAAACAUCUUGGGAAAUGGGAACUGAGAUAACAAACCUACAGUUCACCAGGAAUUUGCCCAACAUGGCUUACUGUGUGGUGUACGGACAAUAAAGACGAACCGGCCUUGGGUCACAAGGGUUGUUAAAAGACGACCAGCAGCUGUUCCCAUUUCUCAUGAGGCCAGGGGAGGAAAUGGGUUUACACUGGAGUGGGAGGGAUUUAGACUGGCAUAUGAAAGGAUUUCUGACUCAAGAUAAUGCUUUCUCAUGAAUAGAACAAUCACAUCUCCCUCUCCUGUUAUUUAAAAGCACGGAAUCUGGUGUCUUCCAAUGGCAGGAGCCUCUUGGAAACAAAGUGUCAUCUUGGUGAACAUGCCACUUUUCUAUUGCCCUGAGUCAGUAUGUGUGAGGAGCAAGCCUGCGCCACUGUCCUGAAAGGAUGCUGAGACCCAGGCCGUCUUAUUCUCCUCAGAACGCCUCACUGUAGGCCUUGGAAAUGCAAUCCUUAUGGAGCAUAUGCUCGAUUACCUUCACAGAGGAUCAAGACUGUACUCCUAUUCCCAUAUUUCAAAUGAUAAUUUUUCUUGAUUAUGUGUGAAAUACGCUUAUCUGUGGAGGCCUGGAUCAGUUAUGACUGUGCCCACAGUUCACAUCUGCAGGAGGAAACUCUUUGGGUUUUUGUGGAGUUGGAGGACUCAGAACUAACUUCAUCCAGAGAGGGCUCUGCACCACUUCUCUCAGAGACUUGGGAUGUUGGGACUGGUCCUAGAUUAUCAACACUGCUGAGGAACCAGCAGUGUACAUUCUGGCGCCGAGCUAGUCAAUAUGUGGACAGGAUACAUGGAGGGAAUGACGAGCCACUUGGCUGUGGAGAAGGCAUGAAAAGGAUGGCAACCUCAUCAUGGGUCUUCAAGCAGGGUGACACAAUUUGGUCUCCUUUUCUCUCCUCCCCCCUCAGCAGCAAAAGAGUAGAUGGGACCACAUGCCACCUCCACACCAGGCCUCUCCCACCUGAGCUGGCUUGGGGAUGAAUAAAGCUUGAAAUAGAUAUGAGGUUCAAGUUAAAAAAAAAAAAAAAGAGCAACUGGAGUACAUUUGAAGAACUAAAAGAAAACAUUUAAUAAAUUGAAGUAACUCACGAAGAUGGACUCA